rnacentral:rRNA from 1 species
UACAGAGGUCUCGAGCGUUAGGCGGAAUCACUGGGCUUAAAGCGUGUGUAGGUGGAUGCCUAAGUACCUUGUGAAAUCCCACGGCUUAACCGUGGAACUGCUUGGUAUACUGGGUGUCUUGAGUCACUCAGGGGCGAGCGGAACAAAUGGUGGAGCGGUGAAAUGCGUAGAUAUCAUUGGGAACGCCAAUGGUGAAAACAGCUCGCUGGGGGUGUACUGACACUGAGACACGAAAGCCAGGGGAGCGAACGGG